GAGACCCCAGGGGGAGGGCGGGAAAGUGACUCUGCCCCGGGGAGCCUGGGAGAAGCCUCGGAGCUGCCUCCGCCCCAUGAGCUGCACCAGGAUCCGCCCCGGCCCCGCUUGGAUGGGGGGGUGGAGUCUGGGGCCCGGUGGGGGGAGCGGGGCGGAGCCUGGGGCCCGGCGGGGGGCGGGGCGGUGUUUUAAACCGCUCGCGUUAGCAAUAUGCUACUCACCGCGUAUUGCGCAUGCUCAGUAACAGCUGCUGAAGCCGCUGCCCUUCCCUCUGCCCGUAUCAUCCGGAACGUUCCGCUGGGCGCUAGUGACAGGGGCUGGGAGGGGCGAUGGGAACAGCGGGGUGUGUGGCCGGGGGCUGAAUAGGGGGAGGGAAUUGACUGGUCGGGGGGGGGUCAAGGACCUGGAGGCAGGGUUGGGGGGGCUAAAUGGCAAAAUCUGGACUGGGGGGGUGAGUCGGGGUUGCACAGGGGGGAAGAUCAUUGGGGUGGGAAAUUUGAACUAUUUCUGUGCAGCCAGGAAAUCCCCAUGGGGUGGGGGUAAGUUCACUGAAUCCUUCCUUGUUUGUGCCACUUCCUCCCACACACACAGUCUUGUCAAGCUUUUUUCCCCUUUCUCUCGUUAUCGUACGUGGCUAUAAAAUCCAGGGAGAUCCCCCCCCCCCCCAGUGAUCCGCUCUCUAAUCUCCCCCGAUAUUGCCCUGCUCUCUCCAUACUUCUCAAGGGUCCAUUUAAAAUCUCUCCGAUGUGGCAGUUUUUCCCACCCAUUUUAUCUGCAGCGUUUUGUUCUUGUUUAGGUGGGAAAUUGUUGCCCUGGGUCAUUCCCCAGAACAUGGUUGUCCCUGGUGUGGGGCUGGGAUGAGAUGCCCAUUCCCUGCCAGGGCGGGGACGCGAAGAGCACGUGUCCCCCAUGGAGACUGCCCAGACCCGUUUCCCAAACCCACCCAGUGACCCCAAACUACCAACACAGUUUCCCCCAGCCCUCAGUUGCCAGUCACUUGCCCAUCACCUGCUGCUGCCCCCUUCCUUUGUCCAGGGAGCCUUCCAGCUCCAGCUCACCCCCCCCCUUGCCCUCUUAAAUCAGCUCCUCAAAGGGCUCCUUGCUGCCCAUGUGAAUGGUGGCAGUGGGGAACCAUCACUUUCUGUUUAUGUUUUGGAUAGUCUCAUAAAAUCCAGUCAAACAGUCCCCCUUUCCCUCUAGUUAUUUAACAGCAACAUAAAAUCCCCUCAGAUCUUGGUAUUUUUCUCUCAUUAUCAAUUGCUUACCUUGUGACACGUUUUCUCUGCAAAUCUCAAAGACUGAUAUAAAAUAUCCUAAACAUUUGCCCUACUUCUCUCUAGUUGUCUAUUUCUAAUUGAAUAUGCCUUGAGAUUUUUUCCCCUGUCUCUCUAAUGAUAAAAUACAAAGAAAAUCUCAGAUUUACACCUUUCCUCAGAUUCUUGAACAUGGAUAUAAAAUGUUUGCAAAUGUUGCCCAUUUCUGCUCUAUUCAAUUAUCAAAUAUUGAUGUGACAUACACUCAGAUUUUACCUCAUACCAACAACUGAUAUAAAAUCCCUCCGAUUUUACACUUUUCUCUCUAUAAUUGGCAAAAGUGGAUCCAAAAUGGCUCAGAUUUCCACCCUUUCUCUUUCAUUUCUGCACAUUGAUCUCAGAGCUCAGGAUUUCCCUCUUUCUAUGUCAUUAUCAAAUAUCAAUAAAAAAUCCUCUCGGUUUUGGGACUGUUCCCUGUGUUUCUAAAUCCCAGCAACUUCUUCCUUCCAGUGAACCUGUUGCCCUGAAUCAUUCUUCAUCCUGGAUGUUGCAGAGGGUUAAAUUGCCCAGUGAUCAUCUUUCCCCUCUCCUUGGAGAAUCAUUUCUUCCCCCCUUUAUCUUUGUUAAAAUGUUUGCCAAAGAAAGAGACCAGCCACAUAUUUAAUACACAUCAAAGCCAGAAGCCUCUCCCUGUUUGGGGAUCAGUGGUUCCCAGCUGGUAACAGGAGAGUUGGCUGGACCCUUUUCUUUUCUCCAGCUGUCACAGGAUGAGGAGGUCACUCUGAGUGCAGCGUGGGUCCAGAAGUAUCCCAAACCCCAUGACAAAUGGCCUCUGUGAGGGGCUGCUUCCCACAUUGCUAAGAUAUAGCCACCUUGGGAUGGAUCCAUGGUGACCAUUAUUUGCUAGUGACAGGGCAUGGACAUGUCUUAUCUUUCUGCCUGAAGGGCAGGCAGGGGUCCUAGGCAGGCAGUAGGAAAAUCCCAGGCAGGCAGUGAGUUCCCAGUUGGGGUCCCCUUGGGGGCUGGCUGGUGGGGGCUCUUGGUAGGGGGAAACCUUUGGGAUUCCUAGCCUGGCAGUGAAGAUCUGGUGGUGGUUCUCUGGCUGGUGGGGCUCUGAAGGGUAUCUGGGGUCUCUAGCCAGGGAUUCUGGUGGUUGGGUCCCAGGGAAUAUCUGGUGGGACCCUGGCUGGGAGGUCUGGGUACUGGGGAUGUUUGGGGGCCCCUGGAUGGAGGCUCUGGGGGCUGCUACUAACCAUGUUCCUUCUAUCUCAUCAGCUUGUGCCAGAAUCCUGGCUCCAAGCACUGCCCGGCAUUCGCCAGCCAGGCCCAGACACUGUGAUAACUUUCUAGCCACUUACCAAACACUGUGAGGCUUUGUGUUCAGAGACAAAGAGCAGGUCUAGCCUACCACCGGCUCGGCAGGUGGUGCUCUCCCGUCAACUCCAGUACUCCACUGCCUCAAGGGGCGAAUGCGGACUCGAUGGGUUAGCAGCAGCAGUCGGAUGCUGCAGUAAGUCGAUCUAAGGAAACCAACUUCAGCUACGCUAUUCUCAUAGCUGAAGUUGCGUAUCUUAGAUCAGCCUCCACCUCAGUUGUAGACCAGGGUUUUGUUAUGGGAUGGAGGGACGGAGAAGAGAGGUUAAAAAUAUCUCUCUGGGCUUAGCCUGGCAGGAGGGACCAGGAUUACACUAUAAUAAAGAGAUCAAGCAUUUUCCCAGGAUGGCAGAAUCUAGGAUGUCUGUCUGCAGGGAAAGGGCCUGGGGGAAUUGUGAUGUGAAACUAACUAAAACCUGUUCUGAAACCUCCACAAUUGCCCUUCUCGCCCUGCCAAGCUUGCAGAAUGAGGUCCAUGUUUCACUCUAGCUCAUUCCAUCCUCUCAUGGGACAUAGGAGAGAAAUGGCUGCAGUGGAGCCAGCUCAGGGGCUGGUGACCUUCGAGGAGGUGGCUGUGUAUUUCACCAG